UCGGGAAUUUUGGGCAAUGGGCGAAAGCCUGACCCAGCAACGCCGCGUGAAGGAUGAAGUAUUUCGGUAUGUAAACUUCGAAAGAAUAGGAAGAAUAAAUGACGGUACUAUUUAUAAGGUCCGGCUAACUACGUGCCAGCAGCCGCGGUAAUACGUAGGGACCAAGCGUUGUUCGGAUUUACUGGGCGUAAAGGGCGCGUAGGCGGCAAUUCAAGUCAUCUGUGAAAUCUCCGGGCUUAACUCGGAACGGUCAGAUGAUACUGCUUUGCUAGAGUGCAGAAGGGGCAAUCGGAAUUCUUGGUGUAGCGGUGAAAUGCGUAGAUAUCAAGAGGAACACCUGAGGUGAAGACGGGUUGCUGGGCUGACACUGACGCUGAGGCGCAAAAGCCAGGGGAGCAAACGGGAUUAGAUACCCACGUAGUCCCUGAGCGGGCUGGCAAGGCGCAU
rnacentral:rRNA from 1 species